GGACUACAAAUUCUGGGGCUGG
rnacentral:siRNA from 1 species